rnacentral:rRNA from 1 species
UACGUAGGUCCCGAGCGUUGUCCGGAUUUAUUGGGUUUAAAGGGUGCGCAGGCGGUCUGUUAAGUCAGCGGUCAAAGCCCGGGGCUCAACCCCGGCCCGCCGUUGAAACUGGCAGUCUCGAGUUGGAGAGAAGUAUGCGGAAUGCGCGGUGUAGCGGUGAAAUGCAUAGAUAUCGCGCAGAACUCCGAUUGCGAAGGCAGCAUGCCGGCUCCACACUGACGCUGAGGCACGAAAGCGUGGGUAUCGAACAGG